CGAUGUCGGCUCAUCACAUCCUGGGGCUGAAGUAGGUCCCAAGGGUAUGGCUGUUCGCCAUUUAAAGUGGUACGCGAGCUGGGUUUAGAACGUCGUGAGACAGUUCGGUCCCUAUCUGCCGUGGGCGCUGGAGAACUGAGGGGGGCUGCUCCUAGUACGAGAGGACCGGAGUGGACGCAUCACUGGUGUUCGGGUUGUCAUGCCAAUGGCACUGCCCGGUAGCUAAAUGCGGAAGAGAUAAGUGCUGAAAGCAUCUAAGCACGAAACUUGCCCCGAGAUGAGUUCUCCCUGAGACUUUAGGUCUCCUGAAGGAACGUUGAAGACGACGACGUUGAUAGGCCGGGUGUGUAAGCGCAGCGAUGCGUUGAGCUAACCGGUACUAAUGAACCGUGAGGCUUAACCUUACAACGCCGAAG
rnacentral:rRNA from 1 species